AACGCAUAUUGCGCUCCUUGGCAUUCCGAGGAGCAUGUCUGUUUGAGAACCUUGACGUACACUCACACCCCCAUUUACCCGUCCUUGGACGAAGUUUAUGGUUCUCGUGUGGAUUUGGGUCCAACGCUUGUUCUGAAGCGUGGCCUUAAACAUAAUGUCGAGAGGUUGUAUCCUGCUGCGCGAGCUGAUUCUUCUGACUCCGUGGUUGACGUGAUAGUACUGGCGAAAGCCGUUCAGGCGUCUUGCAUGGGUUGUUGAUAGGUGAGCAUUUCAUACAGCGGCGAUCCCUUCCGAUUCAUUGAACGUUCAACGUUUGACAUGCCAGGCGGAUGACGGUAUCAUUUGAUACGGGAAACCGAACACCUGAACACAUGGUCUCAAAUCAGACAAGACAACCCGCUGAACUUAA
rnacentral:misc_RNA from 1 species